AGUGAACGCUGGCGGUAGGCCUAACACAUGCAAGUCGAACGGCAGCACAGUAAGAGCUUGCUCUUACGGGUGGCGAGUGGCGGACGGGUGAGGAAUGCAUCGGAAUCUACUUUUUCGUGGGGGAUAACGUAGGGAAACUUACGCUAAUACCGCAUACGACAUACGGGUGAAAGCAGGGGAUCUUCGGACCUUGCGCGAUUGAAUGAGCCGAUGUCGGAUUAGCUAGUUGGCGGGGUAAAGGCCCACCAAGGCGACGAUCCGUAGCUGGUCUGAGAGGAUGAUCAGCCACACUGGAACUGAGACACGGUCCAGACUCCUACGGGAGGCAGCAGUGGGGAAUAUUGGACAAUGGGCGCAAGCCUGAUCCAGCCAUACCGCGUGGGUGAAGAAGGCCUUCGGGUUGUAAAGCCCUUUUGUUGGGAAAGAAAAGCAGCAGGUUAAUACCCCGCUGUUCUGACGGUACCCAAAGAAUAAGCACCGGCUAACUUCGUG
rnacentral:rRNA from 1 species